rnacentral:tRNA from 1 species
UGGGGUGUGACUCAGUUGUAGAGUGCUUGCCUAGCACACAUGAGGCACUGGGUUUGAUGCCUAGUACCACAU